GCUCAGACGAACGCUGGCGGCGUGCUUAACACAUGCAAGUCGAACGAUGAUCCGGUGCUUGCACCGGGGAUUAGUGGCGAACGGGUGAGUAACACGUGAGUAACCUGCCCUUGACUCUGGGAUAAGCCUGGGAAACCGGGUCUAAUACCGGAUACGACCCGUCACCGCAUGGUGGUGGGUGGAAAGAUUUUUUGGUUUUGGAUGGACUCGCGGCCUAUCAGCUUGUUGGUGAGGUAAUGGCUCACCAAGGCGACGACGGGUAGCCGGCCUGAGAGGGUGACCGGCCACACUGGGACUGAGACACGGCCCAGACUCCUACGGGAGGCAGCAGUGGGGAAUAUUGCACAAUGGGCGAAAGCCUGAUGCAGCGACGCCGCGUGAGGGAUGACGGCCUUCGGGUUGUAAACCUCUUUCAGCAGGGAAGAAGCGAAAGUGACGGUACCUGCAGAAGAAGCGCCGGC
rnacentral:rRNA from 1 species